UAAUACCGGAGCCACGAGUGGUAACCACGUUUAUUGGGUCUAAAGCAUCCGUAGCCGGUUUAGUAAGUUUUUUGUAAAAUUGUUUGGCUUAACCUAACAACAGGCAAGAAAUACUACUGAACUUGAAACCGGGAGAGGGCAGAGGUAUUUUAGGGGGAGCGGUAAAAUGUUAUAAUCCCUAAAAGACCACCAAUAGCGAAGGCAUCUGUCCAGAACGGGUUUGACGGUGAGGGAUGAAGGCUAGGAGAACGAUAAGGAUUAGAUACCCUAGUAGCCCUAGCAGUAAACUCUGUGAGCUAUGUGUUGCAUGUCCUUCAUGGACAUGCAGUGUAGUAGAGAAGUCGUUAAGCUCACCACCUGGGAAGUACGGUCGCAAGGCUG
rnacentral:rRNA from 1 species